GAUGAACGCUAGCUACAGGCUUAACACAUGCAAGUCGCGGGACCGGCGCACGGGUGAGUAACGCGUAUCCAACCUGCCCUUAACCACGGGAUAACCCGGCGCAAGACGGACUACUACCGUAUGGUGUAGGCUGGGGAUGCGUCCGAUUAGAUUGACGGCGGGGUAACGGCCCACCGUGGCUACGAUCGGUAGGGGUGCUGAGAGGAAGGUCCCCCACACUGGAACUGAGACACGGUCCAGACUCCUACGGGAGGCAGCAGUGAGGAAUAUUGGGCAAUGGGCGUAAGCCUGAACCAGCCAAGUAGCGUGCAGGACGACGGCCUAUGGGUUGUAAACUGCUUGUAUGCGGGGAUAGGUACCGCAUGAAUAAGGACCGGCUAAUUCCGUGCCAGCCGUCGCGGUAAUUC
rnacentral:rRNA from 1 species